UACGGAGGGUGCGAGCGUUGUCCGGAAUCACUGGGCGUAAAGGGCGCGUAGGCGGCCUGAUAAGUAGGGGGUGAAAUCCUGCGGCUUAACCGCAGGGCUGCCUUCUAAACUGUCAGGCUCGAGCACAGUAGAGGCAGGUGGAAUUCCCGGUGUAGCGGUGGAAUGCGUAGAGAUCCGGAAGAACACCGGUGGCGAAGGCGGCCUGCUGGGCAGUAGCUGACACUGAGGCGCGACAGCGUGGGGAGCAAACAGG
rnacentral:rRNA from 1 species